rnacentral:lncRNA from 1 species
CUAGUAUUUUUGGAGCUAUAUUUUCUUCUUCGUGCUUCUUCAAUUGUGGUUGUAAGUCUUGGGCUAGUGAAGCAUAAUUCACUACUCUAAGGAAGCAAUUUCCGAAAUUUGGGAAGUUAUUUUUCUUCACAUGGUAUCAGAGCUACAAGGGUGUUAGCUUGGAAUCUUGUCAAGUCACUCUUGGUGAAGAAGUUCGUUGGCGUUCCAAAAAUGGAUUCANNNN